rnacentral:rRNA from 1 species
AUUGAACGCUGGCGGCAUGCCUUACACAUGCAAGUCGAACGGCAGCACGGGUGCUUGCACCUGGUGGCGAGUGGCGAACGGGUGAGUAAUACAUCGGAACAUGUCCUGUAGUGGGGGAUAGCCCGGCGAAAGCCGGAUUAAUACCGCAUACGAUCUACGGAUGAAAGCGGGGGACCUUCGGGCCUCGCGCUAUAGGGUUGGCCGAUGGCUGAUUAGCUAGUUGGUGGGGUGAAGGCCUACCAAGGCGACGAUCAGUAGCUGGUCUGAGAGGACGACCAGCUACACUGUGACUGAGACACGGCCCAGACUCCGACGGUAGGCAGCAGUGGGGACUCCUGGACAAUGGGCGAAAGCCUGAUCCAGCAAUGCCGCGUGUGUGAAGAAGGACUUAGGGUUGGAAAGCACUUUUGGCCUGAAAGUAAUCCUUGGCUCUGAUACGGUCGGGGGAUGACGGUACCGGAAGAAGAAGCACCGGCUAACUACGUG